UACGUAGGGGGCGAGCGUUGUCCGGAUUUAUUGGGCGUAAAGAGCUCGUAGGUGGUUUGGUAAGUCGGAUGUGAAAUCUCCAGGCUCAACCUGGAGGGGUCAUUCGAUACUGCCAUGACUAGAGUUCGGUAGGGGAGUGUGGAAUUCCUGGUGGAGCGGUGAAAUGCGCAGAUAUCAGGAGGAACACCUGUGGCGAAAGCGGCGCACUGGACCACAACUGACGCUGAGGCGCGAAAGCUAGGGGAGCAAACAGG
rnacentral:rRNA from 1 species